GCAGUGGGUUGGAGUUACAUUGGUAACUUUGCUCUAAAUUUCCCCUUUAAUGGAAAAAAAUAUGGAUGGAAGGCAGAGGAGCAUAAAUCUUGCAAGUUGCUUUUCCAACAGCAGCCAGAACCAGCCCCAAAUGAAGACACUGUAUGCUGCUGGCGGCUAUGCUCUCUGAACGCUGAUUUCAACAAGCAAUCACCAGCCAGAGAAGUAUUAGAAGAAUUCCCCGAAGCUGGUUCUUAAGAAAAAUAGCUCAUUCAUCAUUUAAAUGCCCCGAGGCUGUCAGCAAAUUUGGACUCUCCAUUCCUUCCUCCAAGGGAUGAAAUCAUGAGCAAUAGAAUUCAUCAGUGACCUUCUACCAUACUGUCAUCAUGGCCUUUUGAAGAUAGCUGGGUCAUGCCUAGGUUUGCAAACACCGUACUGCAGCACCGCGUCCUACGUCCCAGCUAUAAGCGUCAGGACGCUUGGUUCAAGCGCCCCUCAUUCUUCGCAGCCCUGGUCGCUUAUAUAGGCUGCUUCCCAUUGCCUUGCUUCCCUUUAUUCAUUUCUAUAUUUCCGGUAGCCCUAAAAUAAAACAUCUUCUCAUUGGAGAAAACUUCCCUGUCUUUCCUAAGCGGAACUGGACACUUCCUUUUUGAUCUUUUCUUUUCUUCUUUUUUUGGUACCGGGAAUCAAACUCAGGACUUUAAGCUUGUGAGGUAGGUGUGGCGUCACUGAGCUGAAUUCCUGGCCCAUCUUGACCUCUUCUGUACACCUCAUUUUCUCAAGCAUCUCCUGAUCUUCACGCUGGUCUCUGGCUGCUUUGAGGCAUUUGUUUUAUGUGUGGGUGAUGAGUUCCUUGAGGAUGAAGAGUGCCUUUGAUUCAUCUUUUCAAAUCUAGAGCUUUCCUCACACCCUUCACCCUCAAACUUUCUCCCCAGCUUCUGCCGGGUAGAGCAACAGACACGCAGUAGGUGCUCAACUAAUGCCUAUUCAACUGAUGAGUGAAUACAGCCAUGCUUACAAUUGGUCUUGAAAGAGUUGGAGGAUGAAGGAAGUCUCUAAACUCUGUGAAGGGGAAGUGAAGGGUCUAAACUUCAGUUGUUGAAUUUCUGGGAAUUUACCUUCCACUUAUCUUUAUC